AUGUCUAGUCUCCCCUGUCUUACGUGAAAUUAAACACAGUUGAAAAUUAAUUAGUAAGGUAUUGAUUAAAUGAGGUAACUUUCACUUGACUGGAUAUAUUAAUUAAACAAGCAUUUUCAUGCGCACACUACAUCAGUCCGGAGUACAGUUUUCUUUUCUAGGGAUUUCGUUUAGCCAAUUUCCAAUCAGACAUGAAUCCUGUGAGGUUGGUCCUCCUCUUCUGUAUGAUGGCGGUGAUGUGGUGUCUUUCGGUAGCCGCACCCUGCUGUAGGAAGAUCAAACCCACGCCCUUCACCACCCCCCACACCCCCCACACCACGGAACCUGACGCGGACUUGUCGAAACUUCGCCUCUUCCGUAGACUGACUUCAUAACAGAGGUCUCUACAAGACUUCAUGUAGACUGUCGCAUCGUUGCCUUCGGUUUUUGCUGAUUAAAUCAGUGUGGAGACUGU